rnacentral:lncRNA from 1 species
AUUGGGUCUAGUGGAAGGGGUUGGAAUUAGGUUCUUUAAGGUCCCUUCCAACCCGAACCAUUUUAUGAUCACCUAUACUGUAUUUUCUCAAGGCAUUUCUGGUUGCUCUGUGAUAGAGGAAGGAGGAACAGAAUUAAAGGGAGACAGAAUAUGGAAAUAACAAGCUGGGAUGAGAAGUAUCUGGAGAAAGGGUGAAUUUUCCUUCUCUUGCCUGGGCUCUGACUGCACUUUAGAAGCCACGCGGAUGCUCACAAGUUCGUGAUGUCACUGAAGUGAGCUCUUUUCCACUGGGAAGAAGAAAUUUCACUGCAAUUCAGACAUGUUCCUAACAUAGCGAUCUACAGCAAAUUCAGAGGUGCCAAGCCCUGCCAGCCCAAGAUUUCAACCAGAGGAAUAACCAUGGUGCAGCAGACGGGCAUCCAGUCUCAGCCCACACCUCCCUGCUGCUUCCCUGCCAGAGGAAGAAGAUCCCCUGGUGAGAUGUUCAUCGCUGCCCUGGGACUCCUAUUCUGACACUCCAACCUCUGGUACGAUCUAAAUGCUGAGAAAGGUAAAAUUCUAGAGAAGUUUUAAAAAAGAAAGAUGGAAGGAUUUAAUAGCUCCUGUACAAGAAAAUAAGAGCAUGCUGGCCAAAAGCCUGCUCUUCUUUUCAGGGAAUUACCAACAGGCAGAUUACAAUGAUCACCUUCUAAAUUGUAGUAUCCAACCACAUUUUCUGUGAAGAUAAUUUUGGAUUCCAGUAAGUAAAAAAAAAAAAAAAAAAAAGUUACUGUUGGUUGUUCCCCCCACUUCCCUCCUCGUCCCUUUUUUCCA